rnacentral:rRNA from 1 species
UACGAAGGGGACUAGCGUUGUUCGGAUUUACUGGGCGUAAAGCGCACGUAGGCGGCUUUGUAAGUUAGAGGUGAAAGCCCGGGGCUCAACUCCGGAACUGCCUUUAAGACUGCAUCGCUUGAAUCCAGGAGAGGUGAGUGGAAUUCCGAGUGUAGAGGUGAAAUUCGCAGAUAUCAGGAGGAACACCGGUGGCGAAGGCGGGUCUCUGGGCCGAUACUGACGCUGAGGAGCGAAAGCGUGGGGAGCGAACAGG